CCUACGGGUGGCAGCAGUGGGGAAUAUUGCACAAUGGGGGAAACCCUGAUGCAGCGACGCCGCGUGAGUGAAGAAGUAAUUCGUUAUGUAAAGCUCUAUCAGCAGGGAAGAAAAUUACGGUACCUGAGUAAGACUCCCCGGCUAACUCCGUCCCAGCAGCCGCGGUCUUACGUAGGGGGCAAGCGUUAUCCGGAUUUACUGGGUGUAACGGGAGCGUAGACGGCAGUGCAAGUCUGGAGUGAAAGGCGGGGGCUCAACCCCCGGACUGCUCUGGAAACUGUACGGCUGGAGUGCAGGAGAGGUAAGUGGAAUUCCUAGUGUAGGGGUGAAAUGCGUAGAUAUUAGGAGGAACACCAGUGGCGAAGGCGGCUAACUGGACUGUAACUGACGUUGAGGCUCGAAAGCGUGGGGAGCAAACAGGAUUAGAUACCCGAGUAGUC
rnacentral:rRNA from 1 species